rnacentral:rRNA from 1 species
AUGGGGGAUCGUGGGGGAGGCAGAUCUGGCGGAUGGCGCGACUCCUCGACGCGCGGUGGAUUCGGCGGGGGACGCAAGACGGCGCAGGCGAAUCCCUCUCGCCACAUGGUGUGGCAACGCCCAGAUCCGCCGCCGCCACCAUCUGGAGGGGCCAGAUCUGGCGGAGGUACUGAAGAUCGAUGGGAGGCUGCGGCAAGGGCGAUGGGUGGAGACGCCAAGGCACGGGCGAAUACGACGACGUCGACGGCUCAGACGGCUUCAUCGGCAGCGGUGGGUGCUCCAGAUCCAGCUGCCAAGGUCAACGACAAGCUCUGCCUCAACUGCAACCUCCCAGUAGCUGAAAGUGAGGAGGAGGGGGAAAGCGAUGAGGGAAAUCAUACUGAGCUUCUGCUCGAAUCUAUGGCCAGAGAAUAUGCAGCUGAGAAAAUGUCUUAUUCUGAAUCACCAGCUGAAAAAUCUUAUGAGGAAAAAACUGAUGAGAUAUCAGGGGAUGAGAUGGAAAGGUCUCCUUGUGUUGCUGGCAAUAUGAAAAAAGAUUAUGUGGUGUGGCCAUCUCUGCCUCAUAUUGUGCCUCUUGAUGAAGGGUCCACUGAAGGGGGGAUAGUCACAGUGUUUACACUGUUGAAUCGCCUUCUGGAUCGCCAAUGCAUGAAAAUAUGGCUCCUAAAGGGCAGGCUUCGCGCAGACAGUUUCAGAAACUGGAGCGUGUGGAGGAGACGGCCACCAACAGACUAA